UGUGGAUGUGAUCCGUGUGAACAGCUACUACUCUUGGUAUCGCAACUACGGGCACCUGGAGUUGAUUCAGCUGCAGCUGGCCGCCCAGUUUGAGAAUUGGUGUAAGACAUCACAAUCCCAUUAUUCAGAGCGCGUAUGGAGUGGAAACGCUUGUAGGGCUUCACCAGUCUUUCCCAGGGAACUCCGAUGAAGUGUUCCAACAAAAUGAGCGAGUGAACCAAGAAGAGGAUGACAUUAGAUCCAGGAGAUACAACAGAGGAGAUAAUCUCCAGGAUGCCUGUGAAGAAAGAUCCCUGGAUCCCAGGAUGAUUAUAGGACAAGUUGUUCAUAAUCCAGCAGGCCAGAAGACUUCCAGGGAAACUCAUUCAAGGAGGUGAAAAUGAUGGAUGACUCCUCCAAGAUGAAAAUGGACCAGCCGCAGUGGCUCACGCCUGUAAUACCAGCACUUUGGGAGGCUGAGGCAGGCGGAUCACUUGAGGUCAGGAGUUUGAAACUAGCCUGGCCAACGUGGCAAAACUCCAUCUCUAUUAAAAAUACAAAAAUUAGCCAAGCAUAGUGGUGCAUGCCUGUAGUCCCAGCUACUUGGGAUGCUGAGGCAGGAAGAAUUGCUUGAACCUGGGAGGCAGAGUCUACAGUGAGCCGAGAUCAUGCCACUGCACUCCAGCCUGGGCAACACAGUGAGACUCCAUCUCAAAAAAAAAAAAAAAAAAAUUAAGCAGAUGGCUAUAAUUUUUUUAAAAAUAGAAAAGUGUUGAUGAGAAAUGGGAAACCUCAUACAUUGUUGGUCAAACUGUAUGCUUCCAUUUAGAGGAAAUAGUCAGAACAAAUAAAUCCAUAGACACCAAUUAGGUUGGUGUAUCCCAGGGGCUGGGCAUGGAGUGGGGUGGAGAGAGAAGGAGGGCCUGCUUAGUGGAUACAGAGUUUUCUUUGGGGGCGAUGAAAGUGUUUUGGAACUAGAUAGAGGGGGUGGUUGCACAACAUUGUUGUUGGUGGGAAUUUAAAAUGGUGCAAGCACUGUGGAAAAAACAGUUUAGCAUUUCCUCAAAAAGUUAAAACAGGCCAGGCGCUGUGGCUCACGCUUGUAAUUCCAGCACUUUGGGAGGCCAAGCCAGGUGGAUCACUUGAGGUCAGGAGUUUGAGACCAGCCUAGCCAACAUGGUGAAACCCUAAAAAUACAAAAAAUUAGCCGGGCAUGGUGGCAGACACCUGUAAUCCCAGCUACUCAGGAGACUGAGGCAGGAAAAUUGCUUGAACCUGGGAGGCGGAGGUUGCAGUGAGCUGAGAUCGCACCGCUGCACUCCAGCCUGAGUGACAGAGUGAGACUCUGUGUGAGAAAAAAAAAAAAAAAGUAAAAACAUAGAAUUACUAUACAGCUAGCAAUAUCGUUGUUAGGUAUAUGCCCCAGAGACUUGAAUACAGUUACAUGCUCCAUCAGAUACCUGUACCCAAAUGUUCCUAUCGGUAUUACUCAUGGUAGCCAAAAGGUAGAAACAACCCAAAUAUCUACAAAUAGAUGAAUGGAUAAAUAAAAUGCAGUGUAUCCAUAUGGAAUAUUACUUGGUCUCAAAAGGAAAGAAGUACUUAUGCAAGCUACAACAUGGAUAAACUUCAAAACAAUAUGCCAAGUGAAAGAAUCCAAAUGCAAAAGGUCAAACGGUAUGCUUCCAUUUAGAGGAAAUAGUCAG
rnacentral:lncRNA from 1 species